GGAAUCUUCCGCAAUGGGCGAAAGCCUGACGGAGCAACGCCGCGUGAGUGAUGAAGGUUGUCGGAUCGUAAAGCUCUGUUGCCAGGGAAGAACGUCUUGUAGAGUAACUGCUACAAGAGUGACGGUACCUGAGAAGAAAGCCCCGGCUAACUACGUGCCAGCAGCCGCGGUAAUACGUAGGGGGCAAGCGUUGUCCGGAAUUAUUGGGCGUAAAGCGCGCGCAGGCGGCUCUUUAAGUCUGGUGUUUAAUCCCGAGGCUCAACUUCGGGUCGCACUGGAAACUGGAGAGCUUGAGUGCAGAAGAGGAGAGUGGAAUUCCACGUGUAGCGGUGAAAUGCGUAGAGAUGUGGAGGAACACCAGUGGCGAAGGCGACUCUCUGGGCUGUAACUGACGCUGAGGCGCGAAAGCGUGGGGAGCAAACAGGA
rnacentral:misc_RNA from 1 species